GUGGUCUUAAACUACUUGGAUUUAGUUCUAAACUACUCGGAUGUGGUCUUAAACUACUUGGAUCUAGUUCUAAACUACUCAGAAGUGGUCUUAAACUACUCUGAUCUAGGCUUCUUCUUGGAUGUUCACCACUGUAUGUUAUUUUAACCGAGAUGAUUUAACUAGAUCUGUUUGUCUAUAUAAGUCUUUUCUUUUUUUUCGUUACAGUUCAAACGAAGUGAACCUGGAACUGGGGAAUCUUGAAGCUCGACUGACAUUUUACCAAACAAUUCAUGGUCGAAGUAUGAAUAUAGUUAUACAACUCAAAAUCACUCUAAUAAUAUUGUUGUAUUUCUGGCUUAAAAGAAGAAUACAUAGUUAAAUGUGCGAAUGAAAAAUAUCAGACUGAUGCCUGUAUUAUGUUACUGAUUGUUGUUUAUUAUCAAGUUGAUUUAUUAAAAAUCACAAAAUAACCUGCGGCAGAAUGUUUCUUCUGACUUCUGAUGUGCAAGUUUUUAAAUAUUUGUCAUGUUAUUCACGUAGUUUUGGUCACAAGUUAAACAAAUGUACGGCGCUUUACUUGAGUACUUACAUGUUCUGCUAUUCUCCUUUUACUGUACUACAUCUCAGAGGUCUGUAUUGUACUUUUUACUGUAGUACAUCUCAGAGGUCUGUAUUGUAUUGUACUUUUUACUGCAGUACUUCCUUUAAACCAGGCAGUCUCUGUUCUCACAGCGACCUCAUCAGUCUGUUAUUUCUGUCAUGCGCAAUUCAAACUGCAAUCUCACCACUGUGAUCUCUGUGUGAAGCUGCAUCAAACUACAGACACAUUUACCGGAAAUAGAUACUUUCAGAAUAAAGGUGAAGCAACAUAUGUACACUGCAAUUUUGGAGAUUGUUUUUGUUCUACAUUAUAACGCAAAAGAAGAAAGGACUUAAAACGCUAUAGAUAUAAUGUAAAUACACAACAUUAAUUAAAUGAAAAACCGC
ensembl:lncRNA